rnacentral:rRNA from 1 species
GACGAACGCUGGCGGCGUGCUUAACACAUGCAAGUCGAACGAUGAAGCUGGAGCUUGCUCCGGUGGAUUAGUGGCGAACGGGUGAGUAACACGUGAGCAAUCUGCCCUUGACUCUGGGAUAACUGCGGGAAACUGUAGCUAAUACCGGAUACGAGGCUCGAAGGCAUCUUCGGGUCUGGAAAGAAUUUCGGUCAAGGAUGAGCUCGCGGCCUAUCAGCUUGCUGGUGAGGUAAUGGCUCACCAAGGCGACGACGGGUAGCCGGCCUGAGAGGGGAACCGGCCACACUGGAACUGAGACACGGCCCAGACUCCUACGGGAGGCAGCAGUGGGGAAUAUUGCACAAUGGGCGAAAGCCUGAUGCAGCAACGCCGCGUGAGGGAUGAAGGCCUUCGGGUUGUAAACCUCUUUCAGCAGGGAAGAAGCGAAAGUGACGGUACCUGCAGAAAAAGCACCGGCUAACUACGUGCCAGCAGCCGCCGUAA